GACGAACGCUGGCGGCGUGCCUAAUACAUGCAAGUAGAACGCUGAAGGAGGAGCUUGCUUCUCUGGAUGAGUUGCGAACGGGUGAGUAACGCGUAGGUAACCUGCCUGGUAGCGGGGGAUAACUAUUGGAAACGAUAGCUAAUACCGCAUAAUAGCAGUUAUUGCAUGAUAACUGUUUGAAAGGUGCAAUUGCACCACUACCAGAUGGACCUGCGUUGUAUUAGCUAGUUGGUGGGGUAACGGCUCACCAAGGCGACGAUACAUAGCCGACCUGAGAGGGUGAUCGGCCACACUGGGACUGAGACACGGCCCAGACUCCUACGGGAGGCAGCAGUAGGGAAUCUUCGGCAAUGGACGGAAGUCUGACCGAGCAACGCCGCGUGAGUGAAGAAGGUUUUCGGAUCGUAAAGCUCUGUUGUAAGAGAAGAAACGAGUGUGAG
rnacentral:rRNA from 1 species